AUAAGACGCGUUUAAAUAAAUUCAAUACAGAAAGUUGGAAGAGAAAUAUCAACGAUUUUUUUUAACUGGAUGGAUUUAAAAAAAAAAACGGAUAUUCUUGUCUUGUGUGUACAUGUACUUCUUAGCUAGUGUACAUUUAGGGCUGUUAAAAGGUCCACAUGAUUAGCCUAAAGUUGAAUAUUACAAGCAGGCAGUCCCAAAGAAAAUGGUUUAUCAAAUGACACAAGCAGAGUGGAUCCUACACAAGAUCGGAAUAGCACUUGGUAUAGGUGCCUUGCUGGUGUUGGUCGGUUGUUUAUGCUUUUAUUGCCUCGAUCACUGCUUUCAACGACAUCGACGAAAAAAGGCGAAAAAGUUUCAUGACCGUGCCUUAACAGAGUUUCACUUUACUCCUGAAGACGUUUCCGAUGCUGUGAUGAUGAGACCAAUAUCCAAACCUUUUCGUGAAAACCAUAGAAAAACUGUGGUGUUCAGCGACCUGUAUGUCGAAAUGAAGAAUGAUAACGUAACUCUUA